GUGGGGAAUUUUGGACAAUGGGCGCAAGCCUGAUCCAGCAAUGCCGCGUGCAGGAAGAAGGCCUUCGGGUUGUAAACUGCUUUUGUACGGAACGAAACGGUCCUGGUUAAUACCUGGGGCUAAUGACGGUACCGUAAGAAUAAGCACCGGCUAACUACGUGCCAGCAGCCGCGGUAAUACGUAGGGUGCGAGCGUUAAUCGGAAUUACUGGGCGUAAAGCGUGCGCAGGCGGUGCUGUAAGACAGGCGUGAAAUCCCCGGGCUCAACGUGGGAAUUGCGCUUGUGACUGCAGUGCUGGAGUACGGCAGAGGGGGAUGGAAUUCCGCGUGUAGCAGUGAAAUGCGUAGAUAUGCGGAGGAACACCGAUGGCGAAGGCAGUCCCCUGGGCCUGUACUGACGCUCAUGCACGAAAGCGUGGGGAGCAAACAGGAUUAGAUACCCUGGUAGUCC
rnacentral:rRNA from 1 species